CAACAACCUAACAGGGCCGAGUUAAACAAAGCGAGGGGACUCAGAAUUUCAAAAAGUCGUGCUAAGAAGACGGGUACGUUUGUUCCUAGGAAGAGGGGGGAAGGUCUGCCGGUUCUAGGGUGAGAACACCCACUACAUACAAUGAUGAGGAAGAAGAGCAGUUGGAUGAUGAUGUGAGUGAUGAUGAAGACGUUGUGGAGAGUCAAAGUGACAGUGGGAGUGAUAAUUUCAACUCCGAUGAUUUCAUUGAUGAAGAAAUUGAAGAUGAAGAAGAACUAGUUGUUCUUGAUAUUAAAUUUUAGAUUUCUAGUAGGUCAAAAAAAAAAUUCAAACAAACAAUUUGAGAAAAUAAUAAACAAACAAAAAGAAAAAAAACAAAAACAAAAAAUAUAUAUAAAAUAAUGAAAAUAAUAAUGAAAAAAAAAAUGAAAAAAAAAUGAAGUGAGAUAUUUGUGUUAACCGACAUUGCAUCUCCCAAUAUUGGACCUUACCCAUUUCAUCUUCACUCAUCUUCAAAAUAUGGGUUCUCCAUUUUUCCUGUUCGUUGGUUGCCUCUCGCCAAAACCACCCAUCAAGCCACCACUUCUCCUCACAUCUAACAUCGACGAUCAACACUCGAUCAUACUCAUUUGUUCGGUAAUUUCAGACUCCCUUCAUCAAUUAGUUGGAAUUGAAUAAAGAUCAAAACCCCCAAAUUGAGUAAACCCUAACUUAUUGAAUCUUCUCUCUCUUUUGGCUUUAUUUGGUGUCAUCGGUUCUUUCACUUGACGGAGGCGUCGUCCUUAUUCGUUGGCGCUACUAAUACUGUCGGAGAUGAUACCUUCUUUGUUGGUGUUGAUUUUGUGUUCUUGUUCCUCUUCUCUUCUGCUCGUUGCUAGCCCGAGAUGGUCAUCGUCUACAGGUAUUUUUGAUUUCAUAGGUUGCUUCGAGUGAGGACGACAAUAAUAAAAGUGAAUGUAUUAAAAAAUAAAAAAGGGUUUUCCAAUUAUAAAUGUCUUAAUAAUUAAUUUAUUUUUUAAGUUGUAUUGUCAAGUCCUAAUUUGGUUAACGUAAAGAGUUUUGUAAUCUUAAAUAAUUUUUUUAAUC